UACGGGGGGAGCAAGCUUUGUUCGGAUUUACUGGGCGUAAAGGGCGCGUAGGCGGCCACCGCAAGUCAAUUGUGAAAUCUCCGGGCUUAACUCGGAAAGGUCAACUGAUACUGCGGGGCUAGAGUGCAGAAGGGGCAACUGGAAUUCUCGGUGUAGCGGUGAAAUGCGUAGAUAUCGAGAGGAACACCUGCGGCGAAGGCGGGUUGCUGGGCUGACACUGACGCUGAGGCGCGAAAGCUAGGGGAGCGAACGGG
rnacentral:rRNA from 1 species